rnacentral:rRNA from 1 species
CCUACGUGAGGCAGCAGUGAGGAAUCUUGGUCAAUGGACGAGAGUCUGAACCAGCCAAGUAGCGUGAAGGAUGACUGCCCUAUGGGUUGUAAACUUCUUUUAUAAAGGAAUAAAACGAGGCACGUGUGCCUUUUUGCAUGUCCUUUAUGAAUAAGGAUCGGCUAACUCCGUGCCAGCAGCCGCGGUAAUACGGAGGCUCCGAGCGUUAUCCGGAUUUAUUGGGUUUAAAGGGGGCGUAGAUGGGUUGUUAAGUCAGUUGUGAAAGGUUGCGGCUCAACCGUAAAAUUGCAAUUGAUACUGGCAGUCUUGAGUACAGUUAAGGUAGGCGGAAUUCGUGGUGUAGCGGUGAAAUGCUUAGAUAUCACGAAGAACCCCGAUUGCGAAGGCAGCUUACUAAACUGUGACUGACAUUGAUGCUCGAAAGUGUGGGUAUCAAACAGGAUUAGAUACCCGGGUAGUC